AAUUCUCAACCUUACUAGCUUUUGCUAUGUAAUGGCUUGGAUGUGGGGGUAUUUUGCUGGUUUCGAAAGAAAUCUGCUCCCCUCAAAUGUAUUAGCCGGUGCCCCGCGUGGACCGUCUAUUGGUGUGAUAAUUAUCUACGCCGUUAGACGUCUGCUUUAAAUGGGAUGCGCUGCUUCUAAUCGUCCAUUUUGGACAAUUAAUGACU
rnacentral:misc_RNA from 1 species